UUCUACAGCCAUGCUACCCUGAACAAGCCCGAUCCUGUCUGAUCUCGGAAGCUAAGCAGGGUCGGGCCUGUUA
rnacentral:rRNA from 1 species